UACGAAGGGGGCAAGCGUUGUUCGGAAUUACUGGGCGUAAAGGGCGCGCAGGCGGCCCUUGAAGUCAGGUGUGAAAGCCCCGGGCUCAACCUGGGAAUGGCACUUGAUACUCGAGGGCUGGAGUUCGGGAGAGGAGAGUGGAAUUCCCAGUGUAGAGGUGAAAUUCGUAGAUAUUGGGAAGAACACCGGUGGCGAAGGCGGCUCUCUGGACCGAGACUGACGCUGAGGCGCGAAAGCGUGGGGAGCAAACAGG
rnacentral:rRNA from 1 species